rnacentral:rRNA from 1 species
GGUGGUUCGCCGUCGGCGACGUCGCGAGAAGUCCACUAAACCUUAUCAUUUAGAGGAAGGAGAAGUCGUAACAAGGUUUCCGUAGGUGAACCUGCGGAAGGAUCAUUGUCGAAACUUGCAAAAAGACCCGUGAACUAGUUAUCAACACGUGGGGGAGUGUUGGGAGAUAUCCCUUAGCUCCUUCGUGCCAGUGGUGGGUAACUGUGUCGUUAUACCGGCAUGAUUGACCAACAUCUGGACAAACUAACCAACCCCGGCGCGGCAUGCGCCAAGGAACUUUGCAAUAAAUGUGGAAACGCCACCGGUCGUUCCGAAAAUCGGAUAAAGCGGCCGUGUUGUUGGACCACUUUUUCAUUACAAAACGACUCUCGGCAACGGAUAUCUAGGCUCUUGCAUCGAUGAAGAACGUAGCGAAAUGCGAUACUUGGUGUGAAUUGCAGAAUCCCGUGAACCAUCGAGUCUUUGAACGCAAGUUGCGCCCGAAGCCUCUUGGCCAAGGGCACGUCUGCCUGGGUGUCACACAUCGUCCCCGCCGAAACAAAUACUCCUUGUAAGGUGUUUGGUAAGAGGAUGGGCGGAUAAUGGUCUCCCGUGCGUGGUUGCUCGCGGUUGGCCUAAAAAUAAGUUCCUGGUGAUAGCAAGCCAUGACCAGCGGUGGUUGAAAGACCCUCGAUGGGCGUCGUGAGAACUUGCAUCGCAUGUUGGGAGAUUCUGACCUUGAUCGUGUUUAAGCACAUAUCAAACACUCAUGAAGUGACCCCAGGUCAGGCGGGACUACCCGCUGAGUUUAAGCAUAUCAAUAAG